AGUGGGAUCUUCUCUGUCUCGCCUCUGGAGUGGCUCUUUUCAAGCCCAGCAGGAUGGAAAAACUGACCAAUGCCUUUGGCGGGCCACAAUUAUCCUAUCUUCACAGUCCUGCCCAAUCACCUGGGUGGGAGUUAUAAGACCAUGGCGAGAAAGGCCACACAAAAACAGUCCAUAACAUUGCAGGACAUUAAAGUUAACUUUUUUUUUUCCUCUUCCAACAUCCAGUCAUUUAUUUCUCCACAGCCCUCUGAAUGAUCUAGAUAUCUCUGUUUCUCAGACUUUUCCACCAAUCUCUACACUUUCCAUCACAAGUAACAUCUCAGUGUAAGUGGUUCUGUUUGUAAAGUAGACCUCAAAUCUGUCCACUUCUCUCCAUUUCCAUAGCACCACUCUAGUCAAAACUGUGAGUGACAGAUUUCUUUCUCCUAAUUCUUAUGCUUUAUUUCUUUUUCUUACCUAGUUGCAAUGGCUAGGAUCUUCAGUAACAUGUUGAACAGAAGUGGGGAUAGCAAGCAUCCAUGUCUCAUUCUGAUCUCAGGGUAACAUUAUUAUUUAAGGAUGUGGCUGUGGACUUUACCUGGAAGGAGUGAUAGCUACCGGACACUGCUCAGAAGGACCUGUGUUGGGAUGUGAUUCUGGAAAAUUAUAGCAACCUGGUGUCAGUGGAAUCCUGACAAGUUGAUGGUGAUAUAGACUGACACCAGGAAAACUCUGACAAGCAUGAUCCUGUGGAAAGGCACCAGGAAUGCAAUGUAUUUGGAAAAAUAUAUCACCUGAGGAAAGACUUUGAUAAAUCUGAUUCAUAUAGAAAAACUUUUAAAAAUAAUUUAGAUUUACUAUUCCAGAAUAUAAGUGAUAUAAAU